rnacentral:rRNA from 2 species
AAACCAACAGGGAUUGCCCUAGUAACGGCGAGUGAAGCGGCAACAGCUCAAAUUUGAAAUCUGGCCCUAGCGGUCCGAGUUGUAAUUUGCAGAGGAUGCUUUUGGCGCGGUGCCUUCUGAGUUCCCUGGAACGGGACGCCAGAGAGGGUGAGAGCCCCGUACGGUUGGACACCUAGCCUAUAUAUAGCUCCUUCGACGAGUCGAGUAGUUUGGGAAUGCUGCUCUAAGCGGGAGGUAAAUUUCUUCUAAAGCUAAAUACCGGCCAGAGACCGAUAGCGCACAAGUAGAGUGAUCGAAAGAUGAAAAGCACUUUGAAAAGAGGGUUAAAUAGCACGUGAAAUUGUUGAAAGGGAAGCGUUUGCGACCAGACCUUUUCUAGGGGGAUCAUCUGGUGUUUUCACCGGUGCACUCCCCGUAGUUUAGGCCAGCAUCGGUUUUCUUAGGGGGAUAAAGGCCUGGGGAACGUAGCUCUUUAGGGAGUGUUAUAGCCCCUGGCAUAAUACCCCUCGGGGGACCGAGGACCGCGCUUCGGCAAGGAUGCUGGCGUAAUGGUCGUCAACGAC